GGGUUGUGAGGUUAAGCGACUAAGCGUACACGGUGGAUGCCCUGGCAGUCAGAGGCGAUGAAGGACGUGCUAAUCUGCGAUAAGCGCCGGUAAGGUGAUAUGAACCGUUAUAACCGGCGAUUUCCGAAUGGGGAAACCCAGUGUGAUUCGUCACACUAUCAUUAACUGAAUCCAUAGGUUAAUGAGGCGAACCGGGGGAACUGAAACAUCUAAGUACCCCGAGGAAAAGAAAUCAACCGAGAUUCCCCCAGUAGCGGCGAGCGAACGGGGAGGAGCCCAGAGCCUGAAUCAGCAUGUGUGUUAGUGGAAGCGUCUGGAAAGGCGCGCGAUACAGGGUGACAGCCCCGUACACAAAAGCGCAUGUGCUGUGAGCUCGAUGAGUAGGGCGGGACACGUGGUAUCCUGUCUGAAUAUGGGGGGACCAUCCUCCAAGGCUAAAUACUCCUGACUGACCGAUAGUGAACCAGUACCGUGAGGGAAAGGCGAAAAGAACCCCGGCGAGGGGAGUGAAAAAGAACCUGAAACCGUGUACGUACAAGCAGUGGGAGCCCCACCACUAAGCCAGUGGUGAACUCCACAUACGCAUCCUUUGCUGAGGAUACGGUUAACGGAGCGCAAGCGACGUUCAACCGCAAAAGAAGCAGAGGGGGCUUAGUGGUGGGGUGACUGCGUACCUUUUGUAUAAUGGGUCAGCGACUUAUAUUCUGUAGCAAGGUUAACCGCAUAGGGGAGCCGGAGGGAAACCGAGUCUUAAUUGGGCGUUAAGUUGCAGGGUAUAGACCCGAAACCCGGUGAUCUAGCCAUGGGCAGGUUGAAGGUUGGGUAACACUAACUGGAGGACCGAACCGACUAAUGUUGAAAAAUUAGCGGAUGACCUGUGGCUGGGGGUGAAAGGCCAAUCAAACCGGGAGAUAGCUGGUUCUCCCCGAAAGCUAUUUAGGUAGCGCCUCGUGAAUUCAUCUCCGGGGGUAGAGCACUGUUUCGGCCAGGGGGCCAUCCCGGCUUACCAACCCGAUGCAAACUGCGAAUACCGGAGAAUGUUAUCACGGGAGACACACGGCGGGUGCUAACGUCCGUCGUGAAGAGGGAAACAACCCAGACCGCCAGCUAAGGUCCCAAAGUCAUGGUUAAGUGGGAAACGAUGUGGGAAGGCCCAGACAGCCAGGAUGUUGGCUUAGAAGCAGCCAUCAUUUAAAGAAAGCGUAAUAGCUCACUGGUCGAGUCGGCCUGCGCGGAAGAUGUAACGGGGCUAAACCAUGCACCGAAGCUGCGGCAGCGAACGUAUCACCCAAGACAACUUUGCACAGUUGACGACUGACGGAGCGAAGCGACGUCAAAGCGUUUUACAACGUUGAGUUGGCUUAGGGAUACGUUCGUUGGGUAGGGGAGCGUUCUGUAAGCCUGUGAAGGUGGCCUGUGAGGGUGGCUGGAGGUAUCAGAAGUGCGAAUGCUGACAUAAGUAACGAUAAAGCGGGUGAAAAGCCCGCUCGCCGGAAGACCAAGGGUUCCUGUCCAACGUUAAUCGGGGCAGGGUGAGUCGACCCCUAAGGCGAGGCCGAAAGGCGUAGUCGAUGGGAAACGGGUUAAUAUUCCCGUACUUGGUGUUACUGCGAAGGGGGGACGGAGAAGGCUAUGUUGGCCGGGCGACGGUUGUCCCGGUUUAAGCGUGUAGAUGUGUGUUCCAGGUAAAUCCGGUUCACUUUAACACUGAGGCGUGAUGACGAGGCACUACGGUGCUGAAGCAACAAAUGCCCUGCUUCCAGGAAAAGCCUCUAAGCCUCAGGUAACAUCAAAUCGUACCCCAAACCGACACAGGUGGUCAGGUAGAGAAUACCAAGGCGCUUGAGAGAACUCGGGUGAAGGAACUAGGCAAAAUGGUGCCGUAACUUCGGGAGAAGGCACGCUGACACGUAGGUGAAGUGAUUUACUCAUGGAGCUGAAGUCAGUCGAAGAUACCAGCUGGCUGCAACUGUUUAUUAAAAACACAGCACUGUGCAAACACGAAAGUGGACGUAUACGGUGUGACGCCUGCCCGGUGCCGGAAGGUUAAUUGAUGGGGUCAGCGCAAGCGAAGCUCCUGAUCGAAGCCCCGGUAAACGGCGGCCGUAACUAUAACGGUCCUAAGGUAGCGAAAUUCCUUGUCGGGUAAGUUCCGACCUGCACGAAUGGCGUAAUGAUGGCCAGGCUGUCUCCACCCGGGACUCAGUGAAAUUGAACUCGCUGUGAAGAUGCAGUGUACCCGCGGCAAGACGGAAAGACCCCGUGAACCUUUACUAUAGCUUGACACUGAACAUUGAGCCUUGAUGUGCAGGAUAGGUGGGAGGCUUUGAAGUGUGGACGCCAGUCUGCAUGGAGCCGGCCUUGAAAUACCACCCUUUAAUGUUUGAUGUUCUAACGUGGACCCGUGAUCCGGGUUGCGGACAGUGUCUGGUGGGUAGUUUGACUGGGGCGGUCUCCUCCUAAAGAGUAACGGAGGAGCACGAAGGUUGGCUAAUCCUGGUCGGACAUCAGGAGGUUAGUGCAAUGGCAUAAGCCAGCUUGACUGCGAGCGUGACGGCGCGAGCAGGUGCGAAAGCAGGUCAUAGUGAUCCGGUGGUUCUGAAUGGAAGGGCCAUCGCUCAACGGAUAAAAGGUACUCCGGGGAUAACAGGCUGAUACCGCCCAAGAGUUCAUAUCGACGGCGGUGUUUGGCACCUCGAUGUCGGCUCAUCACAUCCUGGGGCUGAAGUAGGUCCCAAGGGUAUGGCUGUUCGCCAUUUAAAGUGGUACGCGAGCUGGGUUUAGAACGUCGUGAGACAGUUCGGUCCCUAUCUGCCGUGGGCGCUGGAGAACUGAGGGGGGCUGCUCCUAGUACGAGAGGACCGGAGUGGACGCAUCACUGGUGUUCGGGUUGUCAUGCCAAUGGCACUGCCCGGUAGCUACAUGCGGAAGAGAUAAGUGCUGAAAGCAUCUAAGCACGAAACUUGCCCCGAGAUGAGUUCUCCCUGAGACUUAGAGUCUCCUGAAGGAACGUUGAAGACGACGACGUUGAUAGGCCGGGUGUGUAAGCGCAGCGAUGCGUUGAGCUAACCGGUACUAAUGAACCGUGAGGCUUAACCUUACAACGCCGAAG
rnacentral:rRNA from 1 species